rnacentral:lncRNA from 1 species
CAGCGCUUCACAACCAGCUGGAUGCAGGCUUGGGGCUGUGCUACUCUGAAAGAAAUGCUAGGCAAAAGCUGUAGCCCCAGCAGGGAGCAUCUUCUCCAGCUCACCUGGCUCUGAGCUGUUGCAGUCCCUACAUCACUCCAGGUCCCCUAUUUGGGAAAGGGACGAUACUGAAGCAUUUGGUCCCCAGGUCCUGCCCAGGAUCGUGGGCAGGGGGAUGUGGGGAUCGCUGCUGGCAGACCCCUGGGAAGAGAUGUCUGUAUUUGACUGAAGACCAAACCAAAGUUCCUGAUAUAAAACUGAUAGUAGCAAAAGAAACUUCCAAAAAUACCCUCUGGGGGAACCCAGCUGCUGGGARAGAAGGCGUCUGCAGGGGCUGGCAUGCACGAGAGGGCCUGUUUAAACCUGACCGUGAGAUGUGAAUGCGUUUGAGUUUCUUUCACUGUGUCAUUGGAAGAUGGGUGCAGAGACAGCUGAGAAGCUGCUCUGUUUGCAUUUCCCCCACCUCUGGCAGGGAGAGCAAGCUAAUGCUG